AUUACCCUGGGGCGUGCGUGAUUGCCCGGAGUGUUAUUGAGCCAAUGCUCUGUAAAAGGGCGACGACUCCAGCGUGCUGGUGAGCAGGCCCGGUCCGGCCGGGAAGCCUGAAGGUGCGCGAGUCAUGCCCACCUGGACAUGCCAGGUUCAAAACAUACAGGCAACACGGCCUCCCGGGGAUUUA
rfam:Pseudodesulfovibrio indicus strain J2 chromosome, complete genome.